CAUUUCCCUUUUGAUACGUCGAACACCAUGGAGGAGGAGAACCACGGCAAGAUUGGCAACCUGCCGGUCAAUGAGCGGACUCUUUUUUGGCGGGGGCAUUGCGCGGCUCUAAGGUAGGGAGAGGAAGAGAGGAGAUUAGGCGGAGAUUCGAAUGCGUUUCUUGAAAGUAAACAAAGAAUAGGCUUCUUGCGAUGCUUUUCGCGAUUAGGCAGCGGGGAGCAGAUUGUGUUUAGGCGGAAGAGGAGGGGGAAAAAGAGAUGAGAGAUGAAAAGCAAAUUCCUGCGACGUUUCCCGGAACCAGGCACCGUCACAGCGAUCGCCGGGAGGAGACUGUGACUGGGGACCCUUUUUGAAGGGCGGAAGGCCUCGUUGUUCUAGCGCGAUAGCACGAUCGGUUCACCCUCCUCUUCCUCCUUCUGGCGCCUCGUCGAAUUGCAUUAUCGAUCGAAAGGGGAAUAAAAGGAGGUGAUAUCCAACUCUCUCACCCUGAUGGGAAGGUGCCCGCACGGGCUCCUUUUCCGUUUGUUAAGAAGAGAACACCGAUGAAAGCUUGGCCUGGGGAAUCGGACGGUUGAAACUUAUGCGAACGUCGGGAUCUGCAAUUCCCCUUGUUUUGUUGAAGUCGAAGCAGAGGCAGCCAGCGUCCACUUGGUGUGCCGCAGGUGAUGUUAUGGUUGGAACUCGAUCAUGGUCGGAGGAUUUCUUUACUGCAUUGGUAAUAAACGGCAAGGUAGUGAUGAAAAGACGCUUAAUUAUACUUUGACCCCUCGUCAGUAUUUGUAGGAUCGGUGUCCUCAAAAAUGGAAUUUACUUCUUGUCAACAUGUACAACUUGACAAAUGACAAGAGGACAUGUUGUCAAUUUUCAGCUGAAGAAAAUAGAACAUUUCAUGUUGAACAGCAGGCAUCGGCUGAUACUUCUACCAUGUUCUCUUGAUGUAAAGUUCUGAUUUCUCAACAUAUUAAAUCACUUCAUACUUUUAAUUGACUACUGUUGACAGCAUAUAGGAGAAAUUAUGGAGUUUCUUGAUCACCCAAAGUGAGAAGUGACCAAUCUUUCUUUACAAUAAGUUCAUUACAGGAUGUUUCACAUCUUGGCUAUGGGAUUUUGGGUUUUUAUAAGCUCAAGUUAUGGCUACCAUAAGCACUAGCACAAGUCACACUUCUAAUGAUGUACUCUUUUAACUGCCAUAGGCAUGAUUGCCAUUAGCUUAAUGUAAGAUAGGUUUUGAUUAGAGAGCAGACAUAGGAUUUUUCCAUGAAAAUAUACUAUGCUAGAAGAUUUUGCUGUAUCUUUUAUCACCAGGCAGCAGCUAUGUCUAACUAUUUCACCAAACUACUAGACCUGAAGUCAAUAUUUCAGCAAACCACUAGACAUGGAGCCACUAGAACUGAACUAUUUCACCAGCUACUUCUGACAUAUCGUUCCAAUGAUGGAGUCCUGGCAUCUGAAUAAGAAGAACAGGAUCAUCGAGCAUAUCUAUAUAAUGGUGCAUUUUAUGUUAAACAACUAUUUUUCAGAAUAUGAUUUUGUGAAAUAAAUCAUCAUUAAAAAAAAUCCAGCUACCUUCAUGCAUUUUUAAUUUCACUGAUAUAAAAUAUAAUUUAUAUCAAUCACCAGCCUUUUCUGAUAUGGCUUAGGUUCUCUUUUUAUUGAUACGUUAAUAGAAUGACAGACUUGUGGGUGAGGCUUUCCUAUUCUGGCAUUCUUGAUGCAUGAGUGGAGGAAAUAAGAUUCAAAAGCUUAAGGAAUGCUUGAAUGUACCAUUUGAUGAGUGUCACGCAGAUCAUCAGGAAGCCCUCAGAGCUCUUCGGCACGCAUCCUUUCCUGAAGUAAAACUCACAGGACUCAAAUCGGAGCAAUGGAAGGACAUGGGAUGGCAAGGGCCAAAUCCAUCAACUGAUUUCAGGAAGCUUCGAUCAUGAAGAGACAAUUAAGGCAACAAUAAUCAUGUUGAGUCAGAAUGGAACAUGUGAGAAGAUUGGACGUCGAGCUAGAGGAUCGAUCGACGUAUCGGUAGAAGGUUUCAUGAGAACGGUAACCAUUAAUUUUGAACGGCUGUGGUCUACGGCUAGAAUUGUAAUUAAUUGGGUUUGAGAUUUCAUUCAAUUAUCUUUCAUUGAUUUAUUAAAAUAUUUUGUUUGGAACAUGUUCGAUUAAGGAUGACUUUCUAAGAGGAGCCGACUAGUAUGCUGACUACUAUUAGCUACCGUCCUUGCCAACUUGUAGAAUAAAAAUUGAAGAUCUUUUUCGUUAAUUGUGACCAUUUUGGAAGUUUUGUUCUAUUCUUUUGAUCUCUCAA